rnacentral:rRNA from 1 species
UACGUAGGUGGCAAGCGUUGUCCGGAUUUAUUGGGUUUAAAGGGUGCGUAGGCGGUUGAUUAAGUCUGAUGUGAAAGCCCUGGGCUCAACCUGGGAACGGCAUUGGAAACUGGCUUACUAGAGUGCGGUAGAGGGGUGUGGAAUUCCCGGUGUAGCAGUGAAAUGCGUAGAUAUCGGGAGGAACAUCUGUGGCGAAGGCUGCUUCCUGGCCUGCUCUUGACGCUGAGGCGCGAAAGCUAGGGUAGCAAACGGG